rnacentral:rRNA from 1 species
UACGUAGGGUGCGAGCGUUAAUCGGAAUUACUGGGCGUAAAGCGUGCGUAGGCGGUUCGCUGUGUCCGAUGUGAAAGCCCCGGGCUUAACCUGGGAAUGGCAUUGGAAACUGGCGGGCUUGAGUGCGGCAGAGGGGGGUGGAAUUCCGCGUGUAGCAGUGAAAUGCGUAGAUAUCUGGAGGAACACCGGUGGCGAAGGCGGCAUCCUGGACCGGUAUUGACGCUGAGGCGCGAAAGCCAGGGGAGCAAACGGG